AUUGAACGCUGGCGGCAGGCCUAACACAUGCAAGUCGAACGAGUGGCGGACGGGUGAGUAAUGUCUGGGAAACUGCCUGAUGGAGGGGGAUAACUACUGGAAACGGUAGCUAAUACCGCAUACCAUCAGAUGUGCCCAGAUGGGAUUAGCUAGUAGGUGGGGUAACGGCUCACCUAGGCGACGAUCCCUAGCUGGUCUGAGAGGAUGACCAGCAACACUGGAAGGUAGACACAGUCCAGACUCCUACGGGAUGCAGCAGGGGGAAAUAGUGCACAAUGGGCGCAAGCCUGAUGCAGCCAUGCCGCGUGUAUGAAGAAGGACUUCGGGUUGUAAAGUACUUUCAGCGGGGAGGCGUUACCCGCAGAAGAAGCACCUGCUAACUCCGUGCCAGCAGCCGCGGUAAUUC
rnacentral:rRNA from 1 species